AGCGAACGCUAGCGGCGGGCCUAACACAUGCAAGUCGAGCGGAGAACUUCGGUUCUUAGCGGCGGACGGGUGAGUAACGCGUAGGUAAUGUGCCUUCUGGUGGGGAACAACCGUGCGAAAGCAUGGCUAAUACCGCAUAUGUCGAGAGAUGAAAGCCUUCGGGCGCCAGUAGAGCAGCCUGCGUCCCAUUAUUUAGUCCUAGUUGGUGAGGUAACGGCUCACCAAGGGUACGAUGGGUAGCUGGUCUGAGAGGAUGAUCAGCCACACUGGAACUGAGACACGGUCCAGACUCCUACGGGAGGCAGCAGUGGGGAAUAUUGCGCAAUGGGCGAAAGCCUGACGCAGCCACGCCGCGUGAGUGAUGAAGGCCUCGG
rnacentral:rRNA from 1 species